rnacentral:misc_RNA from 1 species
AAAGUCGUAACAAGGUUUCCGUAGGUGAACCUGCGGAAGGAUCAUUACCGGGUAGACCCAUCGUGCCGCCCGCGCUCCGCGAGGCACCUGGGUCGCCUACCGACCUCCUGUCAUCAGUUUGGUUGGGGGCCUCGUGCGGCGGGUACCGCCUGUCGCGCGGGGCUUCCAGCCUUGAAAUAGUUCGGCGGAAUCGGCGGUAGGGGCCCUGGCCCCUCUCGCUGGCCGCCGGCCCGUAUUCCCACAGCUCCUGUGAUCAACCUGAAGUCUGAGUGGUAAUCUGCGAACAGAAACAAAACUUUCAACAACGGAUCUCUUGGCUCUG